UGACUUAUUCGUCUCGCGAAUGCAUCUCAGAUUAGAGUUUGAUCAUGGCUCAGAGUGAACGCUGGCGGUAGGCCUAACACAUGCAAGUCGAACGGCAGCACAGGAGAGCUUGCUCUCUGGGUGGCGAGUGGCGGACGGGUGAGGAAUACAUCGGAAUCUACUUUUUCGUGGGGAUAACGUAGGGAAACUUACGCUAAUACCGCAUACGACCUACGGGUGAAAGCAGGGGAUCUUCGGACCUUGCGCGAUUGAAUGAGCCGAUGUCGGAUUAGCUAGUUGGCGGGGUAAAGGCCCACCAAGGCUGACGAUCCGUANCUGGUCUGAGAGGAUGAUCAGCCACACUGGAACUUGAGACACGGUCCAGACUCCUACGGGAGGCAGCAGUGGGGAAUAUUGGACAAUUGGGCGCAAGCCUGAUCCAGCCAUACCGCGUGGGUGAAGAAGGCCUUCGGGUUGUAAAGCCCUUUUGUUGGGAAAGAAAUCCAGCUGGCUA
rnacentral:rRNA from 1 species